AUUGAACGCUGGCGGCAUGCUUUACACAUGCAAGUCGGACGAGUGGCGAACGGGUGAGUAAUGACUCGGAACGUACCGGAUAGAGGGGGAUAACUACUCGAAAGGACAGCUAAUACCGCAUACUAUUCGAGCGGCCGAUAUCGGAUUAGCUGGUUGGUGGGGUAAAGGCUCACCAAGGCGACGAUCCUUAGCGGGUCUGAGAGGAUGAGCAGCCACACUGGGACUGAGACACGGCCCAGACUCCUACGGGAGGCAGCAGUGGGGAAUUUUGGACAAUGGGCGCAAGCCUGAUGCAGCCAUGCCGCGUGUAUGAAGAAGGCCUUCGGGUUGUAAAGGACUUUUGGCAGGGAGGCGUUACCUGCAGAAUAAGCACCGGCUAACUACGUGCCAGCAGCCGCGGUAAUUC
rnacentral:rRNA from 1 species